rnacentral:rRNA from 1 species
AACGAACGCUCUCGGUAUGCUUAACACAUGCAAGUCGGACGGACUAAUUAGGGCUUGCUCCAAUUAGUUAGUGGCAGACGGGUGAGUAACACGUGGGAAUCUGCCCAUCAGUACGGAAUAACUUUUAGAAAUAAAAGCUAAUACCGUAUAUUCUCUACAGAGGAAAGAUUUAUCGCUGAUGGAUGAGCCCGCGUCAGAUUAGGUAGUUGGUGAGGUAACGGCUCACCAAGCCGACGAUCUGUAGCUGGUCUGAGAGGAUGAUCAGCCACACUGGGACUGAGACACGGCCCAGACUCCUACGGGAGGCAGCAGUGGGGAAUAUUGGACAAUGGGCGAAAGCCUGAUCCAGCAAUACCGAGUGAGUGAUAAAGGCCCUAGGGUUGUAAAGCUCUUUUAGCAAGGAAGAUAAUGACGUUACUUGCAGAAAAAGCCCCGGCUAACUCCGUGC